GUUAACUUCAACGACAAGCCUGUAUGGGAAGGCCGAAAAAUAGGCCGAAAAGUAAACAUUAGUGUAGCCCUGGAUUAACGUUAGCGGCAGUAAAGAGUGCGACAAUCUAUAGACAAUCAGGUUUUAAAAGAAUUGACCUAUACUUGACCUUUUCCAAGGGUCAUAUCAAGCCGUCCUCCAUUUUAUUCGGAGUGACCCGGUCGCAUGGUCCAGGGCAUGGCGUGAACCAGGGCGUGAAUAAUCUGUUGACAACCUCCAGGGUUUUCUGGAUACAUGCAGCCCUAAGAUGGACGUCCUGAGCAGGUCGGCCCGAAACUGCAAUCAGCCGAUACCCAACUAAUGCCAAACCUGUAGAUGCACUGCAGUUCAGUCCCACGAGAUUCACGAACUAUGGGCCCACUUUCUACAAACCGCCCACCCACCACCUCCGUCUGCGGAAUACAGGCACCGGCAUUGAGACGCUUCUACAACC